rnacentral:rRNA from 1 species
AAUGAACGCUGGCGGCAUGCCUAACACAUGCAAGUCGAACGGAGAACAGCUUGCUGUUCUUAGUGGCAAACGGGUGAGUAACGCGUGGGAAUCUACCUUUCUGUGGGGGAUAACUGGGGGAAACUUCAGCUAAUACCGCAUACGCCCGGAAACGAGGAAAGAUUUAUUGCAGAAAGAUGAGCCCGCGUCAGAUUAGGUAGUUGGUGGGGUAAUGGCCUACCAAGCCGACGAUCUGUAGCUGGUCUGAGAGGAUGAUCAGCCACACUGGGAUUGAGAUACGGCCCAGACUCCUACGGGAGGCAGCAGUGAGGAAUAUUGGACAAUGGGGGAAACCCUGAUCCAGCAAUGCCGCGUGAAUGAAGAAGGCCUUCGGGUUGUAAAAUUCUUUCACUCGUGAAGAUGAUGACGGUAGCGAGAGAAGAAGCUCCGGCUAACUCUGUGCCAGCAGCCGCCGUAA